GCGGCGGAGCAUGCGGAUUAAUUCGAUGCAACGCGAAGAACCUUACCUGGGUUUGACAUACACCCUGCCGCUCCAGAGAUGGGGCUUCUUUUGGGGGUGUACAGGUGGUGCAUGGCUGUCGUCAGCUCGUGUCGUGAGAUGUUGGGUUAAGUCCCGCAACGAGCGCAACCCUCGUUCUAUGUUGCCAGCAUGCCCUUCGGGGUGAUGGGGACUCAUAGGAGACUGCCGGGGUCAACUCGGAGGAAGGUGGGGAUGACGUCAAGUCAUCAUGCCCCUUAUGUCCAGGGCUUCACGCAUGCUACAAUGGCCGGUACAAAGGGCUGCGAUCCCGUAAGGGGGAGCGAAUCCCAAAAAGCCGGUCUCAGUUCGGAUUGGGGUCUGCAACUCGACCCCAUGAAGUCGGAGUCGCUAGUAAUCGCAGAUCAGCAACGCUGCGGUGAAUACGUUCCCGGGCCUUGUACACACCGCCCGUCACGUCACGAAAGUCGGCAACACCCGAAGCCGGUGGCCCAACCCUGGU
rnacentral:rRNA from 1 species